CACACCGCCCGUCACAUCACGAAAGCCUUUUGUACUAGAAGCCGGCAAUUCAACCGCAAGGAGAUAGCCGUCCAAGGUAUGAAUGGUGAUUGGGUG
rnacentral:rRNA from 1 species